rnacentral:rRNA from 1 species
GACGUAGGGAGCAAGCGUUGUCCGGAAUCAUUGGGCGUAAAGCGCGCGUAGGUGGCUUCGUAAGUCCGUUGUGAAAGUCAAAGGCUCAACCUUUGAAAGCCGAUGGAUACUGUGGAGCUAGAGUACGGAAGAGGCGAGUGGAAUUCCUGGUGUAGCGGUGGAAUGCGCAGAUAUCAGGAGGAACACCAAUAGCGAAGGCAGCUCGCUGGGACGUUACUGACACUGAGGCGCGAAAGCGUGGGGAGCGAACAGGA